GAUGAACGCUGGCGGCGUGCCUAAUACAUGCCAGUCGAGCGAACGGACGAGAAGCUUGCUUCUCUGAUGUUAGCGGCGGACGGGUGAGUAACACGUGGAUAACCUACCUAUAAGACCGGGAUAACUUCGGGAAACCGGAGCUAAUACCGGAUGAUAUUUUGAACCGCAUGGUUCAAAAGUGAAAGACGGUCUUGCUGUCACUUAUAGAUGGAUCCGCGCUGCAUUAGCUAGUUGGUAAGGUAACGGCUUACCAAGGCAACGAUGCAUAGCCGACCUGAGAGGGUGAUCGGCCACACUGGGACUGAGACACGGUCCAGACUCCUACGGGAGGCAGCAGUAGGGAAUCUUCCGCAAUGGGCGAAAGCCUGACGGAGCAACGCCGCGUGAGUGAUGAAGGUCUUCGGAUCGUAAAACUCUGUUAUUAGGGAAGAACAUAUGUGUAAGUAACUGUGCACAUCUUGACGGUACCUAAUCAGAAAGCCACGGCUAACUACGUG
rnacentral:rRNA from 1 species